GAUGAACGCUGGCGGCGUGCCUAAUACAUGCAAGUCGAGCGAACAGACGAGGAGCUUGCUCCUCUGACGUUAGCGGCGGACGGGUGAGUAACACGUGGAUAACCUACCUCUAAGACUGGGAUAACUUCGGGAAACCGGAGCUAAUACCGGAUAAUAUAUUGAACCGCAUGGUUCAAUAGUGAAAGACGGUUUUGCUGUCACUUAUAGCUGGAUCCGCGUCGCAUUAGCUAGUUGGUAAGGUAACGGCUUACCAAGGCAACGAUGCGUAGCCGACCUGAGAGGGUGAUCGGCCACACUGGAACUGAGACACGGUCCAGACUCCUACGGGAGGCAGCAGUAGGGAAUCUUCCGCAAAGGGCGAAAGCUUGACGGAGCAACGCCGCGUGAGUGAUGAAGGUCUUCGGAUCGUAAAACUCUGUUAUUAGGGAAGAACAAAUGUGUAAGUAACUAUGCACGUCUUGACGGUACCUAAACAGAAAGCCACGGCUAACUACGUG
rnacentral:rRNA from 1 species